rnacentral:tRNA from 1 species
AGCCUUGUAGUGUAAUGCAUAUCGGAUUGCAAAUCUGAAGGGGCAAUUUAGUAGUUGCCGGGGCUU